rnacentral:rRNA from 1 species
CAGUAGGGAAUCUUCCGCAAUGGGCGAAAGCCUGACGGAGCAAUGCCGCGUGAGUGAUGAAGGUUUUCGGAUCGUAAAGCUCUGUUGCCAGGGAAGAACGCUUGGGAGAGUAACUGCUCUCAAGGUGACGGUACCUGAGAAGAAAGCCCCGGCUAACUACGUGCCAGCAGCCGCGGUAAUACGUAGGGGGCAAGCGUUGUCCGGAAUUAUUGGGCGUAAAGCGCGCGCAGGCGGUCAUUUAAGUCUGGUGUUUAAUCCCGGGGCUCAACCCCGGAUCGCACUGGAAACUGGGUGACUUGAGUGCAGAAGAGGAGAGUGGAAUUCCACGUGUAGCGGUGAAAUGCGUAGAUAUGUGGAGGAACACCAGUGGCGAAGGCGACUCUCUGGGCUGUAACUGACGCUGAGGCGCGAAAGCGUGGGGAGCAAACAGGAUUAGA